rnacentral:rRNA from 1 species
AGCGGCGAACGGGUGAGUAACACGUAGGUGAUCUGCCCAUCGGACGGGGACAACGAUUGGAAACGAUCGCUAAUACCGGAUAGGACGAAAGUUUAAAGGUGCUUCUGGCACCGCUGAUGGAUGAGCCUGCGGCGCAUUAGCUAGUUGGUAGGGUAAAGGCCUACCAAGGCGACGAUGCGUAGCCGACCUGAGAGGGUGAACGGCCACACUGGGGCUGAGACACGGCCCAGACUCCUACGGGAGGCAGCAGUAGGGAAUCUUCGGCAAUGGGCGAAAGCCUGACCGAGCAACGCCGCGUGAAUGAUGAAGGCCUUCGGGUUGUAAAAUUCCGUUAUAAGGGAAGAACGACUUUAGUAGGAAAUGGCUAGAGUGUGACGGUACCUUAUGAGAAAGCCACGGCUAACUACGUGCCAGCAGCCGCGGUAAUACGUAGGUGGCGAGCGUUAUCCGGAAUUAUUGGGCGUAAAGAGCGCGCAGGUGGUUGAUUAAGUCCGAUGUGAAAGCCCACGGCUUAACCGUGGAGGGUCAUUGGAAACUGGUCGACUUGAGUGCAGAAGAGGGAAGUGGAAUUCCAUGUGUAGCGGUGAUAUGCGUAGAGAUAUGGAGGAACACCAGUGGCGAACGCGGCUUCCUGGUCUGUAACUGACACUGAGGCGCGAAAGCGUGGGGAGCAAACAGGAUUAGAUACCCUGGGUAGUCCACGCCGUAAACGAUGAGUGCUAAGUGU